UGAGGUAGUUGGUUGUAUAGUAGUUUAUUAUUUGACUUUACUAUACAAUCGGCUAACUUUACU
rnacentral:pre_miRNA from 1 species